rnacentral:rRNA from 1 species
CAGGUCAGCAUACUGCCGUGAAUACGUUCCCGGGCCUUGUACACACCGCCCGUCACACCAUGAGAGUUGGGAAUACCCGAAGCCUGUGAGCUAACUUUUAGAGGCAGCAGUCGAAGGUAGAAUCAAUGAUUGGGGUGAAGUCGUAACAAGGUAAC